UAGACGAUUUGUUUUCAAAACAAAAAGUGCAGGAUAUGCACCCCUUG
rnacentral:tRNA from 1 species